ACCUGAUCAGAUUAGCUAAGAGCUAGAGCUGGUGCCAGAGCAGACUGGGAACCACCUGGUGGCUAAGACCAUUUUCUCCAGCUUCUGUGAUGGUGUGACUAAGUGUGGCCCGAGGGGAGAGAGGGGAAUUAAUAAGUGGUUCCAAGGUAAACUGAUAGAGGAGAUAUAAUGAGGAAUGCUGACUUUGUGGUUCAGAUCCUGGAGCCACGUGGGAGAAAGGCCGUGAGAAAUGGAGAAGGGUCUGCAUCAGAAACAGCACGAGGGACCCUGCAAACUGACCCCAUUCCUUCUGGAAUCGCUUCUCCUCUGGCUGGUGAGGCUGUGAGCUCUGUGGAUGGGUGUCUCGGGGAGAAGCAGGUCCUUCAGUUUGGGAGCACUGAGUUGAGAGAGCAGCAACAAGGAACCAAGCAGAUGCUGUGCCCAGGACUCCUGGCUACCGAGAGGCCAGCAGGAAAGAGAAAUGCCGCAGGAGGAUGAAGUUUCAAUGAUCAGUGUAAGUGUGUCCUGCAUAGAUAUUUCUUUUCUUUCUCUCCAUGUGGAAGGAAAGUGAGAAGAACCUAUAAGAAAUAAAACUUGGAGUGGUCAUCUGUGAGCAGGCGGUCACAGCCACGAAAGCAACAAUCGCUUCAGUGGCAGCAGCGGCAGCCAGGGGCUUUCAGGUGUUUCCCGCCAAGGUGCUCCGGAGACAUGUAACGGACGCCACAUGAGGGAUUUUGUACCUCGAUAGACUUGAUGACAGUUUUUUUUAAAAGGCAGGAGAAGGGGAGCUGGACAGGAGAGCAUUGUAGCCCUAGCCGAGGCUUGAAGGUUGGGACUAAACAAAGUGAUGACUGGUAGUGAUUAAACACUGGGCUAAACACCCACAGGGAAUGGAGAGGAAAUGCAUUAGAUUUGUUAUAUUGAAAUCUGUCUUUAAAU
rnacentral:lncRNA from 1 species